rnacentral:rRNA from 1 species
UACGGAGGGUGCAAGCGUUAUCCGGAUUCACUGGGUUUAAAGGGUUCGUAGGCGGGUCUGUAAGUCAGUGGUGAAAUCUCCGGGCUUAACCCGGAAACUGCCAUUGAUACUAUAGGUCUUGAAUAUCCUGGAGGUGAGCGGAAUAUGUCAUGUAGCGGUGAAAUGCUUAGAUAUGACAUAGAACACCAAUUGCGAAGGCAGCUCACUACGGGAUUAUUGACACUGAGGCACGAAAGCGUGGGGAUCAAACAGG